rnacentral:rRNA from 1 species
UACAGAGGUGCCAAGCGUUGUUCGGAUUUAUUGGGCGUAAAGGGCGCGUAGGCGGCGUGACAAGUCACUUGUGAAAUCUCCGGGCUUAACUCGGAACGGUCAAGUGAAACUGUCGUGCUAGAGUACAGAAGGGGCAACUGGAAUUCUCGGUGUAGCGGUGAAAUGCGUAGAUAUCGAGAGGAACACCUGCGGCGAAGGCGGGUUGCUGGGCUGAUACUGACGCUGAUGCGCGAAAGCCAGGGGAGCGAACGGG